CUAGCUUGCUAAUAAUUCUCUAGUGGCGCACGGGUGAGUAACACGUGAGUACCUGCCCCCAAGAGUGGGAUAGCCCCGGGAAACUGGGAUUAAUACCGCAUAAAGCAAUAAAGCAGCAAUGCGCUUGGGGAUGGGCUCGCGUCCUAUUAGUUAGUUGGUGAGGUAACGGCUCACCAAGGCGAUGACGGGUAGCCGGUCUGAGAGGAUGUCCGGCCACACUGGAACUGAGACACGGUCCAGACACCUACGGGUGGCAGCAGUCGAGAAUCAUUCACAAUGGGGGAAACCCUGAUGGUGCGACACCGCGUGGGGGAUAAGGUCUUCGGAUUGUAAACCCCUGUCAUGUGGGACAUUAAAAGAUAGUACCACAAGAGGAAGAGACGGCUAACUCUGUGCCAGCAGCCGCGGUAAUACAGAGGUCUCAAGCGUUGUUCGGAAUCACUGGGCGUAAAGCGUGCGUAGGCGGUUUCGUAAGUCGUGUGUGAAAGGCGGGGGCUCAACCCCCGGACUGCACAUGAUACUGCGAGACUAGAGUAAUGGAGGGGGAACCGGAAUUCUCGGUGUAGCAGUGAAAUGCGUAGAUAUCGAGAGGAACACUCGCGGCGAAGGCGGGUUCCUGGACAUUAACUGACGCUGAGGCACGAAGGCCAGGGGAGCGAAAGGGAUUAGAUACCCCUGUAGUC
rnacentral:rRNA from 1 species